GGGUUGUGAGGUUAAGCGACUAAGCGUACACGGUGGAUGCCCUGGCAGUCAGAGGCGAUGAAGGACGUGCUAAUCUGCGAUAAGCGUCGGUAAGGUGAUAUGAACCGUUAUAACCGGCGAUUUCCGAAUGGGGAAACCCAGUGUGAUUCGUCACACUAUCAUUAACUGAAUCCAUAGGUUAAUGAGGCGAACCGGGGGAACUGAAACAUCUAAGUACCCCGAGGAAAAGAAAUCAACCGAGAUUCCCCCAGUAGCGGCGAGCGAACGGGGAGCAGCCCAGAGCCUGAAUCAGUGUGUGUGUUAGUGGAAGCGUCUGGAAAGGCGCGCGAUACAGGGUGACAGCCCCGUACACAAAAAUGCACAUGCUGUGAGCUCGAUGAGUAGGGCGGGACACGUGGUAUCCUGUCUGAAUAUGGGGGGACCAUCCUCCAAGGCUAAAUACUCCUGACUGACCGAUAGUGAACCAGUACCGUGAGGGAAAGGCGAAAAGAACCCCGGCGAGGGGAGUGAAAAAGAACCUGAAACCGUGUACGUACAAGCAGUGGGAGCCUCUUUAUGGGGUGACUGCGUACCUUUUGUAUAAUGGGUCAGCGACUUAUAUUCUGUAGCAAGGUUAACCGAAUAGGGGAGCCGAAGGGAAACCGAGUCUUAACUGGGCGUUAAGUUGCAGGGUAUAGACCCGAAACCCGGUGAUCUAGCCAUGGGCAGGUUGAAGGUUGGGUAACACUAACUGGAGGACCGAACCGACUAAUGUUGAAAAAUUAGCGGAUGACUUGUGGCUGGGGGUGAAAGGCCAAUCAAACCGGGAGAUAGCUGGUUCUCCCCGAAAGCUAUUUAGGUAGCGCCUCGUGAACUCAUCUCCGGGGGUAGAGCACUGUUUCGGCAAGGGGGUCAUCCCGACUUACCAACCCGAUGCAAACUGCGAAUACCGGAGAAUGUUAUCACGGGAGACACACGGCGGGUGCUAACGUCCGUCGUGAAGAGGGAAACAACCCAGACCGCCAGCUAAGGUCCCAAAGUCAUGGUUAAGUGGGAAACGAUGUGGGAAGGCCCAGACAGCCAGGAUGUUGGCUUAGAAGCAGCCAUCAUUUAAAGAAAGCGUAAUAGCUCACUGGUCGAGUCGGCCUGCGCGGAAGAUGUAACGGGGCUAAACCAUGCACCGAAGCUGCGGCAGCGACGCUGAUGCGUUGUUGGGUAGGGGAGCGUUCUGUAAGCCUGUGAAGGUGUGCUGUGAGGCAUGCUGGAGGUAUCAGAAGUGCGAAUGCUGACAUAAGUAACGAUAAAGCGGGUGAAAAGCCCGCUCGCCGGAAGACCAAGGGUUCCUGUCCAACGUUAAUCGGGGCAGGGUGAGUCGACCCCUAAGGCGAGGCCGAAAGGCGUAGUCGAUGGGAAACAGGUUAAUAUUCCUGUACUUGGUGUUACUGCGAAGGGGGGACGGAGAAGGCUAUGUUGGCCGGGCGACGGUUGUCCCGGUUUAAGCGUGUAGGCUGGUUUUCCAGGCAAAUCCGGAAAAUCAAGGCUGAGGCGUGAUGACGAGGCACUACGGUGCUGAAGCAACAAAUGCCCUGCUUCCAGGAAAAGCCUCUAAGCAUCAGGUAACAUCAAAUCGUACCCCAAACCGACACAGGUGGUCAGGUAGAGAAUACCAAGGCGCUUGAGAGAACUCGGGUGAAGGAACUAGGCAAAAUGGUGCCGUAACUUCGGGAGAAGGCACGCUGAUAUGUAGGUGAAGUCCCUCGCGGAUGGAGCUGAAAUCAGUCGAAGAUACCAGCUGGCUGCAACUGUUUAUUAAAAACACAGCACUGUGCAAACACGAAAGUGGACGUAUACGGUGUGACGCCUGCCCGGUGCCGGAAGGUUAAUUGAUGGGGUCAGCGCAAGCGAAGCUCUUGAUCGAAGCCCCGGUAAACGGCGGCCGUAACUAUAACGGUCCUAAGGUAGCGAAAUUCCUUGUCGGGUAAGUUCCGACCUGCACGAAUGGCGUAAUGAUGGCCAGGCUGUCUCCACCCGAGACUCAGUGAAAUUGAACUCGCUGUGAAGAUGCAGUGUACCCGCGGCAAGACGGAAAGACCCCGUGAACCUUUACUAUAGCUUGACACUGAACAUUGAGCCUUGAUGUGUAGGAUAGGUGGGAGGCUUAGAAGUGUGGACGCCAGUCUGCAUGGAGCCGACCUUGAAAUACCACCCUUUAAUGUUUGAUGUUCUAACGUUGACCCGUAAUCCGGGUUGCGGACAGUGUCUGGUGGGUAGUUUGACUGGGGCGGUCUCCUCCUAAAGAGUAACGGAGGAGCACGAAGGUUGGCUAAUCCUGGUCGGACAUCAGGAGGUUAGUGCAAUGGCAUAAGCCAGCUUGACUGCGAGCGUGACGGCGCGAGCAGGUGCGAAAGCAGGUCAUAGUGAUCCGGUGGUUCUGAAUGGAAGGGCCAUCGCUCAACGGAUAAAAGGUACUCCGGGGAUAACAGGCUGAUACCGCCCAAGAGUUCAUAUCGACGGCGGUGUUUGGCACCUCGAUGUCGGCUCAUCACAUCCUGGGGCUGAAGUAGGUCCCAAGGGUAUGGCUGUUCGCCAUUUAAAGUGGUACGCGAGCUGGGUUUAGAACGUCGUGAGACAGUUCGGUCCCUAUCUGCCGUGGGCGCUGGAGAACUGAGGGGGGCUGCUCCUAGUACGAGAGGACCGGAGUGGACGCAUCACUGGUGUUCGGGUUGUCAUGCCAAUGGCACUGCCCGGUAGCUAAAUGCGGAAGAGAUAAGUGCUGAAAGCAUCUAAGCACGAAACUUGCCCCGAGAUGAGUUCUCCCUGACUCCUUGAGAGUCCUGAAGGAACGUUGAAGACGACGACGUUGAUAGGCCGGGUGUGUAAGCGCAGCGAUGCGUUGAGCUAACCGGUACUAAUGAACCGUGAGGCUUAACCUUACAACGCCGAAGCUGUU
rnacentral:rRNA from 1 species